CCCGCUAACAUGUUUAACCCCGCCACAUUAUUUAUGUAUGUGCCUGUCCUUAGUCAGGAGCCUGUAAUUCAGUGGUUGUCGUUUGUUUAUGUGUUACAUAUUUGUUUUUCGUUCAUUUUUUUUACAUUAAUAAGGCCGUUAGUUUUCUCGUUUGAAUUGUUUUACAUUGUCUUAUCGGGGCCUUUUAUAGCUGACUAUGCGGUAUGGGCUUUGCUCAUUGUUGAAGGCUGUAUGGUGACCUAUAGUUGUUAAUGUCUGUGUCAUUUUGGUCUUUUGUGGAUAGUUGUCUCAUUGGCAAUCAUACCAC
rnacentral:lncRNA from 1 species